rnacentral:rRNA from 1 species
CUACGUGCCAGCAGCCGCGGUAAUACGUAGGGUGCGAGCGUUAAUCGGAAUUACUGGGCGUAAAGCGAGCGCAGACGGUUACUUAAGCAGGAUGUGAAAUCCCCGGGCUCAACCUGGGAACUGCGUUCUGAACUGGGUGACUAGAGUGUGUCAGAGGGAGGUAGAAUUCCACGUGUAGCAGUGAAAUGCGUAGAGAUGUGGAGGAAUACCGAUGGCGAAGGCAGCCUCCUGGGAUAACACUGACGUUCAUGCUCGAAAGCGUGGGUAGCAAACAGGAUUAGAUACCCUGGUAGUCCACGCCCUAAACGAUGUCAAUUAGCUGUUGGGCAACUUGAUUGCUUAGUAGCGUAGCUAACGCGUGAAAUUGACCGCCUGGGGAGUACGGUCGCAAGAUUAAAACUCAAAGGAAUUGACGGGGACCCGCACAAGCGGUGGAUGAUGUGGAUUAAUUCGAUGCAACGCGAAGAACCUUACCUGKGUCCUGACAU